rnacentral:rRNA from 1 species
CCUACGGGAGGCAGCAGUGAGGAAUAUUGGUCAAUGGGCGGGAGCCUGAACCAGCCAAGUCGCGUGAGGGAAGACGGUCCUAUGGAUUGUAAACCUCUUUUGUCGGGGAGCAAAAGCACCCACGCGUGGCGUUCUGAGUGUACCCGAAGAAAAAGCAUCGGCUAACUCCGUGCCAGCAGCCGCGGUAAUACGGGGGAUGCGAGCUUUAUCCGGAUUUACUGGGGUUAAAGGGUGCACAGGCGGAAGGUCAAGUCAGAGGUAAAGUUGAGGGGCUCAACCUCUUCGAGCCGUUGGAACUGGUUGUCUGGAGUGAGCGAGAGGUAGGCGGAAUGCGUGGUGUAGCGGUGAAAUGCGUAGAUAUCACGCAGAACUCCGAUGGCGAAGGCGGCAUACCGGCGCGCAACUGACGCUGAUGCACGAAAGUGUGGGUAUCGAACAGGAUUAGAUACCCUAGUAGUC